GUUUUUUUCCUCCGUGUCACAAAGUAUUUAAUGAUGUUUCUGUACUUUAAUUUCUCUGCUACUUUAUUGAUCUUUGAUGGGAAGAUAUUCUGUUACGUUUGUGUUGAUAUUUUCGUUGUAAUUUUCGCUCAAAGUAUGUACAUUAGCGCCAUUAAUGUCCGCGAUCGUUAUGAAGUUAACAGGUGCUAACGAGCAGAUUGGGAAGUAAAUAAAUGCUACUGGAUCGAGGCCCCUCGUCAUCUCUCCUGCCUCUUCAAUCAUCCAAAGACUGUUUAGUCUGUUAUUUUAAUGUAAUGGUCGGUUCAUGUCCGUUGCAUUGACUUGACUUGUCAUUGGGUCUGAUUUUAAAUGUGCCAUAUAGUUCAAUGUGGGAGCAGGUUCACACACUAAAUAAGACACUAAAUAAGGUCAAGCACAAGCAGGUUUUUUGUUUUAUUUUUCUCAGAGCAGAGUAGAGCAGAUGUUUCAGGUUGCUGCCAUCAGAGAGCAGUGACUUGACCUCAGUGUCUUAUUUAGUGUACUCCCACAUUGAACUCUACUUUUUGGGUCCACGCACCUACUUAUUUCUAAACAUCUAGAGUGCAACAAUACCCAUGCCUCCUAAUGUGCCAUAUAACCUGUAUCUCGCCUAUUGUGUGUGUGUGUGUGUGUGUGUGUGUGUGUGUGUUCGUGAAUGUGUUCACGCAGAUAUAAGAAGUUGGGGUUGGGGUUGAUGAUCCACAUGAUGGUGAUGGACCAGGACAGCUCUGGACCUCCUGACUGGCAGCUCCAUCCUCAACCUCCCUUCCUGUCCUUCACACAUGUGCAGGCAGAGGCAGUUUUCUGAAGGAUGGUUAAUGUCAGUAUCAACAUGUUGUGAUGGAGGCUUCCACCUGAGCUGAACACAGAAACUUGCACACAGUGAUGGAAGCAGUCGUUCCUGUUCAGCAUUGAUAUGCCGGUAAUGGGUUUGAUGAGCCACAGCGUGGUGAUGGGCAAUCAGCAUCAGGACCAGGGCCGCUCACAAGGCUGCCCUGCCUCUUCAUCCUCAACCUCCAAUCUUCCUGCUCUUCACACAUGUGCAGGCACAGAGCCAGUUUUCAGAGGGAGGGCUGAUGACACCAGCAACUUCGGAUCUGAACCUGAUCAACCCAGCACCAACCACUGUGCCGCUCCUCCUCUGCCAACUGCACCACAUGGCUCCACCAUCUCAAAAAGGCACAGACACUACUCCACUUCCUGCGAAGGAUGAGAGAAGAGCCGACCUCCCCACAACGGCACUCACCACCUUCUACAGGGGUGUCAUUGAGAGCAUCCUGACCAGCAGCCUCUCUGUCUGGCAUGGCAGCCGUCAAGCUGAAGACUAGAAGGCAGUACAGAGAGUGGUGAGGACAGCAGAAAAGCUCAUAAGAUCACCCCUACCUGUUCUCCCUACUACCAUCAGGGAA